rnacentral:tRNA from 1 species
CACUACGAAGCUCAGAGCGUUAACCUUUUAAGUUAAAGUUAGAGACAGGAAGUCUCCGUAGUGA